UUUAUUCCAUACAUGAUGAAACCAUUCUCUUCUGGAUUUCUGGUGCUAUAUAAAGCCCAACAGGCCUUCACCUCUUCCCACAACAAAUACAAGCUUUGUUUCUAAGAGAUGAAGCUGGUUUUAAUUGGUUUGGUAAAGAUGGUGCAAAAUAAGGGUUUGGCAGCUACUUUUGGCUUGUCUCGUGAAAUCACAGGCUAGAGGCUGGCAAUACUCUUUCCCUCUUAACAUCAAGGGUUCAAGGGUAAGGGAGGUGACAGAAGAGAGUGAGCACACAUGGUAUUUCUUGCAUGCCCGGUUUCAUGCUUGAAGCUCUGCGUGCUCACUCUCUAUCUGUCACCCCACCACUCUCUCUCUCUCUCUCUCUCUCUCUCUCUCUCUCUCUCUCUCUCUCUCUCUCUCCAUAUAUAUAUAUGUAUGCCUUUGAAUUUUUUGUACAUGCCUUGUGUGCGUCCGUGUGCUUGUGUAUUGCAGGAGGGGGGAAAGGGACUGGGAUUUGGAUUCUUUCUGCCUAUACUAAUUUGUUAUCUAUCGUGUGAUGUAUUCCUUUAGAAUGUCUUUGCAGUGGAUUCCUAAUCGGCUGGGGAGAAAUUAACCAGAACUUUGCUUACUUCGAAGUUGGAACCAAUGCUUUUCGUAUUGUACCCACAGUACUGAAACGGUUCAUGUGGUCAUUCCAGAUUAUCUGUUAUGUUUUAAAAUUGUUUGUUCUUGUCAUAUGUCGAUCGUGUUGCCUGCUUCUGUCACGUGAACUCAAAGAUUGCUUAAUUAGUUAAGGACUACCUGUUUGUGUAUGCGCAGAAAGUGCCACUAAUUUGUCAGUUCCUUGCUUUUUGUUCGGAACAAAAGGGGGGGAGGGGGGAUCAGUUCCAAGAUUUCUGUUAAGAGUCGCUCUGCUUGAUGACAUCUGAAAGUUCUUGGUCCUGCGUACUAUUUUCGUACUUUUCAUCAAAACAUAAGGUUUUGACUUGAGUAAUUACGACUAUACCAUUUGAUCAAGAAGAUUUAUUAAUCUACAGAGGUUCUGUGAUUUUCCUUCACAGAAAAUGUUUUUGGUUGAGUUUAUGGACAGAAUAAAACAAAAUUACAAGAUGGCAGGGAGAUCAAGGGAUGUUUUUUUUGUUCCAUGUCUCUAGCUAUAUAUGCGUGUUGCCCUCGUAAACUUGUACGGUUAUUAGGGUAUAGGCCGUGUUGUCUUGUUAGCUGGGGUUAAUCUGCUUGCAAAACUUAAAUGUACCCUCUUGACAGUACAGAAGGAAGGUCUUUAAUUAGUUAGAAAUGACCUAAUCAAUGGUGAAAAUGUUGAAAGCAAGAAGUACUACUGAUGUAGGGAUCAAUCAAGCUAAUGGGAUCCAGAUCAGAUGCGUCUGGUUUUUUUAUCUCAUCUGUACAACAGGCCAGCAGUGAAGUUGCAGAAAUUCUUGGAAUUCACUGAUCAACUUGAAGAUCCAGUACCUCAAGGUGGUUGAUGAUCACAAUUACCUAUAUAUAUAUAUAUUUAGCUUGAAGUGACUGGUUAAUUUGAGCCAAAAUUAAAUAUUAUAUGUGGGAAUGCUUGAUGAUGCAUGGAGAAGAUCAAUCCAAAGCUGCCAUGCAUGUGUUUUUGUAAGCUGGAAGAAGGCUGAUGAUGAUGAUGAUGACGAUGAUCAGAUAUUGAUGCCUGAUGGUCUUAAUAAUCAUGUGUGUGGAAAUUCUGCAACAAGAUUAAUGCUGUCCGCGGCUUCUACCAUAUAUGUGCAUGGUUCUUCGUAAAUCUGAGAGAAUUUGUGAGUUCCUCAAGGGAUGAUCAUGAUCAUCGAUCGAUGAUGAAGAUAUGCCAGCCAAAUUAAGUUGUUUUUGACGAACUUAAUUCAGUUUAUAAAGUACUUCAUCAUGUAUAUAUUGUGCUGAUCAUCGAUCAUAUUAGUGUUCAAAUGAUCAUAUUUUUCUAA